CAUUCCCACCGCGUGUGUGACCGGGCGACUAUUAUGGGAUGUGUCUGUACCGACGGCGGGGCUGCCGCCCUGGGAAAUAUUAUGGGAUGCAGCAGACAGAGCGGGGGUGGGGGGUUAUUAUGGGAUGGCAGUGGCAGGGGCCACAGCCCUCAGCCCGGCCUUCCUGCUCGUGCCCCGGGGGACACCCCCAGCCCGGUGCCCCCCACCCCCACACAGCCCCAACCAAUAAAUCCGGCAGGGUAUUAUGGGAUGGCUGCUCCACGGAGCUUGCCAUGCGAGUCCCGGUGUCACAAAGCUAGGAGCCAGCAACUUGGUGAAACAUGGACAUGUGUGGCACAAAGCAAGACCCCUCCCGGAGCACUUCACCUCUGAGCAGGACCCAGUGUGUGACUUGGUUACAGCACAGCCCCAAAGUUACCCAGCUGGUUGUUCCCUGUUACAGGCAAGAGAAAACUGCCUCCAGGCACUCAGGGCUCUCGAUGCUUUGCAAACCUCUGGCUGCUUUGGAGCCCAAGGUGACUUAAUGAGAUUUGAGUCUUGUACAUCCUUCUCUUGAGCAAAUCCAAGUCCAUCAGCUCUGCUCAGCAGCAGUGGGGUUUGAACCCCCUUGAAUGGGACAUACAGCCUCCAGGCUAAUUUGUGCUGUUCCCUGUAGCACAGCUGUUGCUGGGUGCAGUGCUGGAAACGCCUCUCCCAGAUCCAGCUGGAGGUAGGAGAUGAAGGAGAAUUCUGUCCCAGCCUGUUUUUUCAGUAUCUCUGCUUACUGAGCUCAAGAGAUGUGUUUCAGUGUUAGUGAUUCUUGCCAGCAUGCACAAGCGUUAAUACAGGAUGCAAAAAUAGGUAUCACAGGAUUGCAGUCGGGGCAGCUCGAACCACCAGGCUGUUAUUACGGUCCCUCUGAGACCACUUGCUGCUUCUCUGGCUGGAUCCAACUGUUUGUUUCGUGAGCAGGGGAGCAGGGCAUCUCUGAGGCACUUCAGGGAAGUGGGAACCUGAAACUGCUAACUAAUAAGCAUCCUUAACUUCUGAGUAUUUCUUCCAGCUUUCGUUAUUCAUGAUAUACAAAAUUCUGUGUUAAAAGACUGAUAAUGUUGCAAAGUAGUAUUUUUACAAUUGCAAAAUAGUAUUUGUUUCUUACAUCUUAGUAAGUGCCUCCAUCUUCAGAAAAAAAAAGGUGAAGGUAAACAUGGAAAAUUCA